AACGAACGCUGGCGGCAGGCCUAACACAUGCAAGUCGAACGAAGUCUUCGGACUUAGUGGCGCACGGGUGAGUAACACGUGGGAAUAUACCUUUCGGUGGGGAAUAACAGCGGGAAACUGCUGCUAAUACCGCAUACGCCCUUUUGGGGAAAGAUUUAUCGCCGAGAGAUUAGCCCGCGUCCGAUUAGCUAGUUGGUAAGGUAACGGCUUACCAAGGCUACGAUCGGUAGCUGGUCUGAGAGGAUGAUCAGCCACACUGGGACUGAGACACGGCCCAGACUCCUACGGGAGGCAGCAGUGGGGAAUAUUGGACAAUGGGCGCAAGCCUGAUCCAGCCAUGCCGCGUGAGUGAUGAAGGCCUUAGGGUUGUAAAGCUCUUUCGACGGGGACGAUGAUGACGGUACCCGUGGAAGAAGCCCCGGCUAACUUCGUGCCAGCCGCCGCCGUAACAC
rnacentral:rRNA from 1 species